rnacentral:piRNA from 1 species
GCCAAGGAUGACAUUGAGUUUCUGAGC